ensembl:lncRNA
GGGGGAGGGGUUCUUAUGUUUACAAGAACAUAACAUUAAAAGUUGUUUGAUGUUGCAAUAUUUUUAAUCUAUAUUUCUAGCAUGACGUUCUGUUGCAUGAACACUGUUGUGCGGGCUAAUUUUCACAUCAGAUGAAGGUUAGUAUGAAUACAUAAAACCAUUUAAAUAACAUGUUUAUCCGAACAUAACAUUAAAAUUUGUUCAAUGUUGUAUCAUUUCUUUCAAACUGUAUCUCUAGCACGGUGUUAUUUCGAGCGGUUUGUUCCCGCUUCAGAGGCCUUCAGUCAGCGCGUGGUCACAGUGUCCAGAGAGAUUUAUAUCAGAAGAAAGUUGACCACUGCAAUUCUUUGGAGGACAGAUACCAGGAAGGUCCCAUCUGCAUCAAGCAAAGAUAGCAGAAUUGUUAGAACAUAACCUGGAAUGCGAGAGAUGGAUGCAAAGACACAUGAAGGGGCCAUUCACACCUCACAGUAGAACAUUACCACACAAAUAUCUAUAUGGCCUCCCGGAUUAGAACCUGGAACUAAAUUUUUGCAACACAGAUUGCUAUAGAUUAGACUCCAUCCAUUUCCCAGACAUGAGCACAGAACACACACCUCCACCAUUGCAUCAUCACCUCAUCUAGACUAUCCAGUCUUACACACAGAAGACAAUGAUGGCUUAGAAGACUUAGAUUACAAACGUGGUACUCAACUAAAGAUCUAUUGUCCAUCUUCACAUUGACAGAACCACAUAGCCUCACACACACAGGAUAAUAUAAUUAAUCCCAUGUUAAAAUCGACACACAACAUAUAUACUAUUUGCAACUGUCUGCAAACUCAUGGAACAACACUGUAACACACAUUUGCACGACUAGUCACAGAUCGAUGGAGUAAAUUUUGAACACAGAGGCAGACAAGCCUUUAAAAUUUAAAAUAUUUCAUCUUUCUGAUUGUUGUGAGGGUUGUUGACAGGCCAGAGGGCCCCUGGUUUCCCAACACAUCUCUAAUAACAAAAAACAUUAUCAAAAUGACUAAAUGUGAAGUGCCUGCACUUCAUUUCUAUCAACCAAUCAUGAAAUGUACAAUUUUACCAAACCAUCAACUGUGACUUAGCCUGCAUAUCAGAUACCCAGUCACACACACACACACACACACACA